rnacentral:misc_RNA from 1 species
AUUCAAACUGCUUUAGAAUGGCAAUGGACCACAGUUAAGGAGCAUUAAUUUGUAUUAGGUGCCAUGCGAUAUACAAGAAGCUGCAACUGCUCAAAAGCAUGAACAUUAAAUGUGUAAAGUGCAAAUAAAAGGGGCUUAACAUGUAAAAGCACAAAAAUAUUGAACUAUUUGGUUUUCACUACACUUUCAACCUCUACAUGUGAGUUCCAAGUUCAAGCUCAGUAACUCUACCACUGAGCAUAAACUUAUAACCAUAUUUCGAUGAUAAAAUAAAGAUGGUUACCACUCACUAGACAACUGAAUUUUAUGUGAGGAACUUGUAGAUGGGAACAUGAAUGUCAAAGGGAAACAGUGGAAUACAUACAUAUAUGGUCUUAACCACCAAGAACACAAAGAGGAAGAAGAUAUAAUUUGAAGAUGAAAGAACAGCAGCUAAUUAAUUUACAUGCCACAUAUGUUAGCUCAAAUCAUCUCUCAUGCCUGCAAAAAUACCAGAGGUUCUGUCUUUGAGAUUCAUUAGUUAUUGCCUCAUUCAUGUAUGUAAAGCUGAAAUAACUCAAAUAUUUCACUUCCUCUUCUUCUCAUGGUGUUUUCCCAGUUUUGACUGCCGUUGCUUUAGCAAAUGCAGGUAAAGAUUGAACCAGAGGAAUGGGUAGAAUACAAGCCCAACCCUGACAAGGUCAUAAUAGCUGAAUGGAAGAGCAGCAAAGAAACCAGCAUAAAAAUUCUUCUUCUUUACAAAUGAAAGUCCUUGGUACAUGAGCCACACUGAAUAAUGGUGACAGAUGAAUUUAAAACUUGAAAAAGCAAGAAGAACAAAUAAAAAAAAAAAGUAAGAGGAAGCGGUUGGUCAAUCCUAAUUAUAUAUUUUUUUACUGACUUCAUUUAGAUAAACAUGAAUAUAAGUAAGGAAAACCGUGCACUCACUUUCACCAGGAGCAAGUCCAAUAGGAUAUAUAACAAUGAAUGCAGUAUACCUGGGGAGAGGCAAAAGUUAAAAGAGUAUACUACAAGGAAUUCAACUAUUCAAGUAACAUAGAGUAAAUUCUUCCAAUGUAAAUGUGCCUUCACACAUUUUGUUUGAGCAAGUACAUGUGUCUUUGUUUGUGUGCAACUGUGCAUGUGUGAAAGAGAGAUUUUGGUGACAAAAAUUAAAAACACUCACUUAAAAAGACAUAUAUGUUUAUGUCAAACCUGAGGUAAGUGAUCCAAGAUGGACAAUUUCCAAGGCUGUUCAAAGCAUAAUGAGGAUAUCUAAUUACCUCAGAUAGGCACCAAGCAAAAAAGGUUAUAAAAAUUGAUGGCAACUCCUGGACCUCAACAAUGUUAUGAACAAAGAACAGAAAAUGGGUUCUUCCUCCCCACUGCAUAAGUGGGAACAACACUCCACUUGGAACAAUACCUGAAUUUAAAAAAGAAAAAGUUAGCUUAAUUGAAAUCAUUUUCUCCAGUUAAAAGCCCAAAUUGAAGUUAUAAGGCCUCACAGAAGCCUACCCAGAGCUCCAUGUAAAACUUCCAAGAAUGCAACAAUUUGCAAGAAAACUUCCACACACAAACAAAUAAACCAGUUAAAUAUGAAAUUUGAAUCUGAGGGUCAAACUAAAUGCCCAACUGAAAUGCCAAUAAAUGAAAAAGACCAAGUUAAAGAAAAGCCUGACAGAUAAGCUCUCCAGCAGAAGCAUAAGCUCCAUCGAGUGAAUGGGUGGAAACAAAACUGCUCAAAACUCUAAAGAAAGCAAUUGUCCUGUCAUGAAAGAAUAGCACAUAAAUCUUGAGGGGGAAAAGGAGAGGAAAGAGUGAUAGGAAGUUACCAUCCAAAGGACUGAAGGGAAUUGUAAACGAAGAGAUACAGCUUCGAAACUGACAUCCUCAUAGGUGCCUGGUGUGUGAUUCUGGCUCAAGUUCAACCGCCACAAAAUUUCUGCGC